UCCGGGGGGGGCAAGCGUUGUUCGGAAUUACUGGGCGUAAAGGGCUCGUAGGCGGCCAACUAAGUCGGAUGUGAAAUCCCCAGGCUCAACUUGGGAACUGCAUCCGAUACUGGAUGGCUUGAAUUCGGGAGAGGGAUGCAGAAUUCCAGGUGUAGCGGUGAAAUGCGUAGAUAUCUGGAGGAAUACCGGUGGCGAAGGCGGCAUCCUGGACCGACAUUGACGCUGAGGAGCGAAAGCUAGGGGAGCAAACGGG
rnacentral:rRNA from 1 species